GAUGAAGAACGCAGCGAAAUGCGAUAAGUAAUGUGAAUUGCAGAAUUCAGUGAAUCAUCGAAUCUUUGAACGCACAUUGCGCCCGAUGGUAUUCCGUCGGGCAUGCCUGUUCGAGCGUCAUUUCAACCCUCAAGCGCAGCUUGGUGUUGGGUGCUUGUCCCGCCUCCGCGCGGCGACUCACCUCAAAGUCAUUGGCAGCCCGCAUCCGCCGGCCGUGAGCGCAGCACAGUCGCGCCCUAGGCCCCGGCGGAUCGGCUCUCCAGAAGCUACCCCCCAAUGUUGACCUCGGAUCAGGUAGGGAUACCCGCUGAACUUAAGCAUAUCAAUAAGCGGAGGA
rnacentral:misc_RNA from 1 species